CAGUAGCCGCGGGAAUACGAAGGGUGCAAGCGUUACUCGGAAUUACUGGGCGUAAAGCGUGCGUAGGUGGUGGUUUAAGUCCGUUGUGAAAGCCCUGGGCUCAACCUGGGAAUUGCAGUGGAUACUGGAUCACUAGAGUGUGGUAGAGGAUAGUGGAAUUUCCGGUGUAGCAGUGAAAUGCGUAGAGAUCGGAAGGAACAUCUGUGGCGAAGGCGACUAUCUGGGCCAACACUGACACUGAGACACGAAAGCGUGGGGAGCAAACAGGAUUAGAUACCCGCGUAGUCCCUGUCUCUUAUAC
rnacentral:rRNA from 1 species